AACGAACGCUGGCGGCAGGCUUAACACAUGCAAGUCGAGCGCCCCGCAAGGGGAGCGGCAGACGGGUGAGUAACGCGUGGGAACGUACCCUUUGCUACGGAAUAGCUCCGGGAAACUGGAAUUAAUACCGUAUGUGCCCCUACGGGGGAAAGAUUUAUCGGCAAAGGAUCGCCCGCGUUGGAUAGCUAGUUGGUGGGGUAAUGGCCUACCAAGGCGACGAUCCAUAGCUGGUCUGAGAGGAUGAUCAGCCACAUUGGGACUGAGACACGGCCCAAACUCCUACGGGAGGCAGCAGUGGGGAAUAUUGGACAAUGGGCGCAAGCCUGAUCCAGCCAUGCCGCGUGAGUGAUGAAGGCCUUAGGGUUGUAAAGCUCUUUCACCGGAGAAGAUAAUGACGGUAUCCGGAGAAGAAGCCCCGGCUAACUUCGUGCCAGCCGCCGCCGUAAAAC
rnacentral:rRNA from 1 species